AACGAACGCUGGCGGCAGGCUUAACACAUGCAAGUCGAACGCAUCCUUCGGGGUGAGUGGCAGACGGGUGAGUAACGCGUGGGAACGUGCCCUUCAGUUCGGGAUAACCCAGGGAAACUUGGGCUAAUACCGGAUACGUGCGAGAGCAGAAAGAUUUAUCGCUGAAGGAUCGGCCCGCGUCUGAUUAGCUAGUUGGUGGGGUAAUGGCCCACCAAGGCGACGAUCAGUAGCUGGUCUGAGAGGAUGAUCAGCCACAUUGGGACUGAGACACGGCCCAGAAUCCUACGGGGGGCAGCAGUGGGGAAUAUUGGACAAUGGGCGCAAGCCUGAUCCAGCCAUGCCGCGUGAGUGAUGAAGGCCUUAGGGUUGUAAAGCUCUUUCGUCCGGGACGAUAAUGACGGUACCGGAAGAAGAAGCCCCGGCUAACUUCGUGCCAGCCGCCGCGGUAA
rnacentral:rRNA from 1 species